GCUCUUAUGGUGUAAUGGUUAGCACUCUGGACUCUGAAUCCAGCGCUUUGAAUCCAGCGAUCCGGGUUCAAAUCCCGGUAGGAGCU